AUGAAGAUACCUCUUAAGAAUAAAAUCUUUGCAUGGUAUCUUCGUCGCGGAGUCAUUCUUACUAAAGAUAACCUUAUUAAGAGGAAUUGGCAUGGAAGUCCGCAAUGUGUCUUUUGUUACCAUGAUGAGACAAUAAAACAUUUAUUCUUCCAAUGCAAAUUGGCUCGUUCUAUAUGGUCAGUCAUCCAAAUAGCUUCUGGCUUGUAUCCUCCUUGUAGUGUUGCUAAUGUAUUUGGCAACUGGUUACAUGGGAUUGAUCACAUGUUUAGAACUUUUCUCAGUGUGGGAGCACUUGCCGUUAUUUGGUCGCUUUGGCUAUGUAGAAAUGAUAAGGUUUUUAACGAUAGAAGUACUUCCCUGAUGCAGGUUAUCUACAGAUGUACCGGGACACUUCGUUUAUGGUCCUCUCUACAACGCGUGGAUAAUUGA
rnacentral:rRNA from 1 species